rfam:Haemonchus contortus, ISE/inbred ISE, WGS project CAVP01000000 data, contig: Hcontortus_contig_pathogens_Hcontortus_scaffold_1098
GGCUUAAAUUUGAAGUAGAGUAGAUUAAUAAGUUCAGCUGAUCCUAAUAAUCUACUCUACUUCCAAUCGGGCCC